UGGCGGACGGGUGAGUAAUGUCUGGGAAACUGCCUGAUGGGAGGGGGGAUAACUACUGGAAACGGUAGCUAAUACCGCAUAACGUCGCAAGACCAAAGAGGGGGGACCUUCGGGCCUCUUGCCAUCGGAUGUGCCCCAGAUGGGAUUAGCUAGUAGGUGGGGGUAACGGGCUCACCUAGGCGACGAUCCCUAGCUGGUCUGAGAGGAUGACCAGCCACACUGGAACUGAGACACGGUCCAGACUCCUACGGGAGGCAGCAUG
rnacentral:rRNA from 1 species